rnacentral:rRNA from 1 species
GAUGAACGCUAGCUACAGGCUUAACACAUGCAAGUCGAGGGGUAACGAGAGGAAAGCUUGCUUUCCUUGUCGACGACCGGCGCACGGGUGAGUAACGCGUAUCCAACCUGCCCCCAACUAGGGAAUAACCUUGCGAAAGUAAGACUAAUACCCUAUAAUUUCCUCAGAUGUCAUCUGACGAGGAAUAAAGAUUUAUCGGUUGUGGAUGGGGAUGCGUCUGAUUAGCUUGUUGGCGGGGUAACGGCCCACCAAGGCAACGAUCAGUAGGGGUUCUGAGAGGAAGGUCCCCCGCAUUGGAACUGGGACACGGUCCAAACUCCUACGGGAGGCAGCGGUGAUGAAUAUUGGUCGAUGGGCGGAAGCCUGAACCAGCCAAGUAGCGUGCAGGAUGACGGCCCUAUGGGUUGUAAACUGCUUUUAUACAGGAAUAAAGUUAGCCACGUGUGGUUAUUUGUAGGUACCGUAUGAAUAAGGACCGGCUAAUUCCGUGCCAGCCGCCGCCGUAA